AGUGAACGCUGGCGGUAGGCCUAACACAUGCAAGUCGAGCGACAGCACAGUAAGAGCUUGCUAUUAUGGGUGGCGAGGAGCGGACGAGUGAGGAAUACAUCGGAAUCUACUUUUUCGUGGGGGAUAACGGAGGGAAAAUGACGCUAAUACAUCAUAAGACCAAACAGUGAAAUCAAGUGAUCUUCGUACAUUUCCCGAUCUCAUAGGUCGAUGUCGGUUUAGCUAGUUGGCGGGUGAAAUGCCGACCAAGCCGACGAUACGUAGCUGGUCUGAGGGGAUGGUCGGCCACACUGGAACUGAGACACGGUCCAGACUCCUACGGGAGGCAGAAGUGGGGAAUAUUGGACAAUGGGCGCAAGCCUGAUCCAGCCAUACCGCGGGGGUGAAGAAGGCCUUCGGGUUGUAAAGCCUUUUUGUUGGGAAAGAAAAUCAGCAGGUUAAUACCCCGCUGUUCUGACGGUACCCAAAGAAUAAGCACCGGCUAACUUCGUG
rnacentral:rRNA from 1 species